ACUACAUUUGAUUCCUUUGUCUAACCCAAUUCUCUGCUGAUGAUACAAUUUGGGGCAUCUUAGUAUCGACUGGUUCUAACUGAUUCAUUCAGUCUUUUGACAGAUAAAUAGCCUAUGAUUGAUAUAAAGUGAGUUUUAACAGAAUCA